rnacentral:rRNA from 1 species
CAUGCAAGUCGAACGAGCAAGAGAGAGCUUGCUUUCUCGAGCGAGUGGCGAACGGGUGAGUAACGCGUGAGGAACCUGCCUCAAAGAGGGGGACAACAGUUGGAAACGACUGCUAAUACCGCAUAAGCCCACGGUGCCGCAUGGCACAGAGGGAAAAGGAGCAAUCCGCUUUGAGAUGGCCUCGCGUCCGAUUAGCUAGUUGGUGAGGUAACGGCCCACCAAGGCAACGAUCGGUAGCCGGACUGAGAGGUUGAACGGCCACAUUGGGACUGAGACACGGCCCAGACUCCUACGGGAGGCAGCAGUGGGGAAUAUUGCACAAUGGGGGAAACCCCGAUGCAGCGACGCCGCGUGGAGGAAGAAGGUCUUCGGAUUGUAAACUCCUGUUGUUGGGGAAGAUAAUGACGGUACCCAACAAGGAAGUGACGGCUAACUACGUGCCAGCAGCCGCGGUAAAACGUAGGUCACAAGCGUUGUCCGGAAUUACUGGGUGUAAAGGGAGCGCAGGCGGGAAGACAAGUUGGAAGUGAAAUCUAUGGGCUCAACCCAUAAACUGCUUUCAAAACUGUUUUUCUUGAGUAGUGCAGAGGUAGGCGGAAUUCCCGGUGUAGCGGUGGAAUGCGUAGAUAUCGGGAGGAACACCAGUGGCGAAGGCGGCCUACUGGGCACCAACUGACGCUGAGGCUCGAAAGUGUGGGUAGCAAACAGGAUUAGAUACCCUGGUAGUCCACACCGUAAACGAUGAUUACUAGGUGUUGGAGGAUUGACCCCUUCAGUGCCGCAGUUAACACAAUAAGUAAUCCACCUGGGGAGUACGACCGCAAGGUUGAAACUCAAAGGAAUUGACGGGGGCCCGCACAAGCAGUGGAGUAUGUGGUUUAAUUCG